rnacentral:rRNA from 1 species
CCUGCCCAGAGCGGGGACGAACAGGGGAAACGUUCUGCUAAUACCGCAUGUGGAUCAGAAAGGCAUCUUUCAGGAUCUAAAGCCGCAAGGCACUCUGGGAUGGGCCCGCGGCCUAUCAGCUUGUUGGUAAGGUAACGGCUUACCAAGGCUACGACGGGUAGCUGGUCUGAGAGGACGAUCAGCCGGAUUGGGACUGAGAUACGGCCCAG